UACGUAGGGUGCGAGCGUUGUCCGGAAUUAUUGGGCGUAAAGAGCUCGUAGGCGGUUUGUCACGUCUGCUGUGAAAUCCCGAGGCUCAACCUCGGGCCUGCAGUUGAUACGGGCAGACUAGAGUUCGGUAGGGGAGACUGGAAUUCCUGGUGUAGCGGUGAAAUGCGCAGAUAUCAGGAGGAACACCGGUGGCGAAGGCGGGUCUCUGGGCCGAUACUGACGCUGAGGAGCGAAAGUGUGGGGAGCGAACAGG
rnacentral:rRNA from 1 species